rnacentral:RNase_P_RNA from 1 species
GGGGUUUGGGUGGUCGCCGGUCUCGUCUGAGACGGGAGGAAAGUCCGGGCUCCACAGGGCAAGGGUGCCGGUUAACGACCGGUCAGGGCAACCUGAAGGAAAGUGCCACAGAAAAUAUACCGCCGAAUUUGCUCGCAAAAUCGGUAAGGGUGAAAUGGUGCGGUAAGAGCGCACCGCGUCUUUGGAGACAAGGAUGGCAGGGCAAACCCCACCUGGUGCAAGGCCGAGAAAGUUCCAUGAAACGGCCCGUUGGGAGCUUUCGCUAUCGCGCCGCUAGAGGGUGUUGGCAACAGCAUCCGUAGAUGAAUGGCCAUCUCAUGGAUGAGGGCGACCUCGCCAUGAACAGAACCCGGCUUAUAAACUCC